CCUCUAUUUCUUGGCAUGCACGAGCUUUUCAGUACUCAUGCGUGUAAUGUACGGAGGAAGAUCAAAUGCAGCGCUAUGUCUUCGGUGCCGGUGUGUUUAUCGUCCGCCGGUUCUAUCCUCAAUCGCUGUGACACUU